UCCUGAGAUGGGAAAAGGCUGUGAUUCUUGAUCUGAAGAGUCUUAUCGUCGGUAGUACUUGCCAUCGAUGAUCAAUUGUUUGGAUUUGAGGAGGAGAAUAUUGAAUUAUGUUGGCCUACAACAAAGGGGGCAGGUCAGGUUGAAAGGAUUGUUGACAAAAGGAAAAAUAAAAAAGGGAAGACAGAGUAUUUGGUUCGGUGGAAAGGCUAUGACAGCGAGGACGACACUUGGGAGCCGGAGCAGCACCUCGUGAACUGUGAGGAAUACAUCCACGACUUCAACAGACGCCACACGGAGAAGCAGAAGGAGAGCACAUUGACCAGAACAAACAGGACCUCUCCCAACAAUGCUAGGAAACAAAUCUCCAGAUCCACCAACAGCAACUUUUCUAAGACCUCUCCUAAGGCACUCGUGAUUGGGAAAGACCACGAAUCCAAAAACAGCCAGCUGUUUGCUGCCAGCCAGAAGUUCAGGAAGAACACAGCUCCAUCUCUCUCCAGCCGGAAGAACAUGGACCUAGCGAAGUCAGGUAUCAAGAUCCUCGUGCCUAAGAACCCCGUUAAGAGCAGGACCGCAGUGGAUGGCUUUCAGAGCGAGAGCCCCGAGAAACUGGACCCCGUCGAGCAGGGUCAGGAGGACACAGUGGCACCUGAAGUGGCAGCGGAAAAGCCAGUCGGAGCUUUAUUGGGCCCCGGUGCCGAGAGGGCCAGGAUGGGGAGCAGGCCCAGGAUACACCCGCUAGUGCCUCAGGUGCCCGGCCCUGUGACUGCAGC
rnacentral:sRNA from 1 species